rnacentral:rRNA from 1 species
UACGGAGGGUGCGAGCGUUGUCCGGAAUCAUUGGGCGUAAAGGGCGCGUAGGUGGCCCGGUCAGUCCGUGGUGAAAGCGCGGGGCUCAACCCCGCGUCGGCCAUGGAUACUGCUGGGCUGGAGCACUGUAGAGGCAGGCGGAAUUCCGGGUGUAGCGGUGGAAUGCGUAGAGAUCGGGAAGAACAUCAGUGGCGAAGGCGGCCUGCUGGGCUGUUGCUGACGCUGAGGCGCGAAAGCGUGGGGAGCAAACAGG